rnacentral:lncRNA from 1 species
GCAUUGUACAGGUCCCUGGAGUGCCUCCACUCCUUCAUUUGGUUUGAUAACCCAGUAAAAAAUAAGACCAGCCACGCUUUCCAGAGAGCAAAGAAACUGAGGAUUUCAUCAGAGAAGGUGCAGAAGUACGGGAUAUGGCUGCUGAGGUACUGGUAUGUGGCCCCAGGUGUGCCAGCUCCCUCUCUGAGCAGUGAUGUGGCACGCACAUGCUCUCGAGGUGCUGGUAUAGGUUAUGUAGGCUUGCUACCAGGAAAGUGUCCAUACAUUUUCACUUCAGAUUGAAUAUUUCUUGCCUGUGGGCUUUCGUGCAUAUUGACAGUAAGAUCUUUCUCUGAGGGUGACAAAGGUUUUGGAUAGACAGAGUGCCUGUGUGGGAAUGAGAUGAUUUAUAACAGACCAAUAUAAACUAACAACAAAGUCAUGCAUGGACACGCUCUGCACAUAUCAAAGCACAUUUGUCUUUUAUUGCAUUAAUUUUAUGACAUUACAAACAGAACAAUAAUAAGAAAUUUGUAUUUCAUAAGCCUCUCAUAAAUUAUGCAAUUUUAAUACAUGCUGUCUAUGACUAAGAUUAUGUGUACAUUGACACUUUCACAAGUUGGUUCAGGUUAUCUUUUUCCACACAUCUAAGUUCUUUGUUAACAUAUUAAACAGAAUUUAAGAUCUGCAAGAAAAAAAUCUACUUUACAUGGCCACUUCAAUGCAAUCCAAAAGGGUAUGUGUUUGUUAUAUUAGGAGCUUGUGAAAGAAAAAAGUAACCUGCAUCCAUUUUCUUUUUGAAGUUUUGCUUAAUCUUGCAGUGAGGCAGACCCUGCUUGUAUUGAUACUGUAAAAACAUGAAGGAUAUCUAGAUGCCUUUUUUAUUUAAGGCAUCUUAAUUUUUGAAUGUUUGGAGAGGUUUUAGCCUUUUAUACCAGUUACACAUGUUGAAUCUUAUUGAGGGAGCUUUCAUCAGAAGUUUUAAGUAAUUAUUAUGCUGUUAGUUUUGAUAAAUUAGUUUGAAGGAAAGUACUCUUCAUCAGAAUCUGAAGUACUUGGUACCUUUGACAUACAUCUAUUAGCCAUAUGUCAAGAGAUAGUCAAAGAGAAUAAAAAGUCAAAGAGAUUUUGAUUUUGUAAUGUG